GACGAACGCUGGCGGCGUGCUUAACACAUGCAAGUCGAACGCUGAAGCACCAGCUUGCUGGUGUGGAUGAGUGGCGAACGGGUGAGUAAUACGUGAGUAACCUGCCCUUGACUCUGGGAUAAGCCCGGGAAACUGGGUCUAAUACUGGAUGCUACAUGUCACCGCAUGGUGGUGUGUGGAAAGGGUUUACUGGUCUUGGAUGGGCUCACGGCCUAUCAGCUUGUUGGUGAGGUAAUGGCUCACCAAGGCGACGACGGGUAGCCGGCCUGAGAGGGUGACCGGCCACACUGGGACUGAGACACGGCCCAGACUCCUACGGGAGGCAGCAGUGGGGAAUAUUGCACAGUGGGCGAAAGCCUGAUGCAGCGGCGCCGCGUGAGGGAUGACGGCCUUCGGGUUGUAAACCUCUUUCAGCAGGGAAGAAGCCACAAGUGACGGUACCUGCAGAAGAAGCGCCGGCUAACUACGUG
rnacentral:rRNA from 1 species